AUAGAAAAAAAUAUUAUCUUCUGAUUUGUCGAUCGUAUAAAUACCCAUGUUACAACGAAGAUGAUCAGAAAACUGUAAAGUAUGUGAAAGGUUCGAAAGAGAUAUUUUAUAAUUUUUACAUUUGCCGGAUCAUAACUGUUCGUUUAAAAUGAGAACACUGUUUGUAAUUCUGGCCAUUUGCUUCGCGAUGAUUCCAUUAAUCAUGGGUUGCAAACCACCCGGUUUACUAUGCUCCGACGACAAAGACUGC